rnacentral:rRNA from 1 species
GACGAACCGUGCGAACGUUAUUCGGAAUCACUGGGCUUAAAGCGCGUGUAGGCGGGCGGCACGUCGGUCGCUGAAAGCCCCCGGCUCAACCGGGGAACGGGCGCCGAUACGACCGCCCUCGAGGGACGUAGGGGGACCUGGAACUUCCGGUGGAGCGGUGAAAUGCGUUGAGAUCGGAAGGAACGCCCGUGGCGAAAGCGAGGUCCUGGACGUCUGCUGACGCUGAGACGCGAAAGCCAGGG